rnacentral:misc_RNA from 1 species
UCCGGUUUGGCACCGGCAGUCUCCCACGAGUCCCCGACAUUACCCGCUUUCACGGGUUUCACCCUGCAUGUCAAGCCCAGGUAAGGUUCUUCGCGUUGCAUCGAAUUAAGCCGCAUGCUCCGCCGCUUGUGCGGGCCCCCGUCAAUUCCUUUGAGUUUUAGCCUUGCGGCCGUACUCCCCAGGCGGGGUGCUUAAUGCGUUAGCUUCGGCACGGACGGGGUUGAUAUCCGCCCACACCUAGCACCCAACGUUUACGGCUAGGACUAC